rnacentral:lncRNA from 1 species
CGUGGCUGUUAUGGUGACGUUUGGGUUUAGCGAUGGUUAAGAGGGCAAGACUAUGAUUAGCUACAUAGAGAAAGAAGACACUUUGGGUAUCAUCUAGAACAGACCUCUCAUUUUACAGCUGAGGAAACUGAGGCACAAAGAAGUGACACGUCUUACUCAAGUCAUUGUCAGAGCCACAAUCUUUUUCCAGGGGAUUAUUAUUAGCAGAGGCAACAAUGCCCCUAAUGACUCAGAGACUGACUGGGCCUGCCCAAGGAGUGUGCCAGGAAGCCAACGAGUCGCGGGGCCGGCACACACUACUCAGCAAAUAAUUACUUUGGAAAGGAAGCAAGUCCCAGGGAGGAGUGGCCAGACCUAGGACUCCAGCGGGCUGCCUAGUGAAGUCCGAGGCAAUUUCUGCAACCCAGGGGUCCCUUUUAAUACCUCCCGGGGUUCUGACUUUGAAAGAGGCACAGUCCUUCUGAUCUAUUUCUCUCCCUCCUCCCCAAUUAUACAUCAUCUGUG